rnacentral:rRNA from 1 species
UAAAGUGGUACGCGAGCUGGGUUUAGAACGUCGUGAGACAGUUCGGUCCCUAUCUGCCGUGGGCGCUGGAGAACUGAGGGGGGCUGCUCCUAGUACGAGAGGACCGGAGUGGACGCAUCACUGGUGUUCGGGUUGUCAUGCCAAUGGCACUGCCCGGUAGCUAAAUGCGGAAGAGAUAAGUGCUGAAAGCAUCUAAGCACGAAACUUGCCCCGAGAUGAGUUCUCCCUGAGACUUAGAGUCUCCUGAAGGAACGUUGAAGACGACGACGUUGAUAGGCCGGGUGUGUAAGCGCAGCGAUGCGUUGAGCUAACCGGUACUAAUGAACCGUGAGGCUUAACCUUACAACGCCGAAG